GAGCAGGCUUGGUUGAAUGGUUACGCUGUUAGCUUUGUAAGCAAAAGAUCAUGGCUUCAAUUCCCUUUUGCUCC
rnacentral:tRNA from 1 species